UACAGAGGUGCCAAGCGUUAGGCGGAAUCACUGGGCUUAAAGCGCGUGUAGGUGGACGGGUAAGUAUCUUGUGAAAUCCCACAGCUCAACUGUGGAACUGCUGGAUAUACUGCUUGUCUUGAGGCAUUCAGGGGCAACCGGAACAAAUGGUGGAGCGGUGAAAUGCGUAGAUAUCAUUUGGAACGCCUAUGGUGAAAACAGGUUGCUGGGGGUGUUCUGACACUGAGACGCGAAAGCCAGGGGAGCAAACGGG
rnacentral:rRNA from 1 species